GAUGAACGCUGGCGGCGUGCCUAAUACAUGCAAGUCGAGCGAACAGACGAGGAGCUUGCUCCUCUGACGUUAGCGGCGGACGGGUGAGUAACACGUGGAUAACCUACCUAUAAGACUGGGAUAACUUCGGGAAACCGGAGCUAAUACCGGAUGAUAUAUUGAACCGCAUGGUUCAAUAGUGAAAGACGGUUUUGCUGUCACUUAUAGAUGGAUCCGCGCCGCAUUAGCUAGUUGGUAAGGUAACGGCUUACCAAGGCAACGAUGCGUAGCCGACCUGAGAGGGGGGUCGGCCACACUGGAACUGAGACACGGUCCAGACUCCUACGGGAGGCAGCAGUAGGGAAUCUUCCGCAAAGGGCGGAAGCCUUACGGAGCAACGCCGCGUGAGUGAUGAAGGUCUUCGGAUCGUAAAACUCUGUUAUUAGGGAAGAACAAAUGUGUAAGUAACUAUGCACGGCUUGACGGUACCUAAUCAGAAAGCCACGGCUAACUACGUG
rnacentral:rRNA from 1 species